UGGUGCCUCCGCAACAUGAAACCGUGAACCCGGUCAGGCCCGGAAGGGAGCAGCCGAAGCGGUGGAUGUGUGUGCCGGGGGAUCGCUG
rnacentral:SRP_RNA from 1 species